rnacentral:misc_RNA from 1 species
CUCAAAACCCUUCCCCCUCUCCGGCACUGUCCCCAUAGUUGGACGAGUCCUCUCCGGCGUGAUGGCCCCCGCCGCCGAAGCCACUGGUCGCCGCGACGGAGACGGGGACGUGGCCGGCUUCGCCUUGCUCGUCUCGAAGGAGAAGGACCGGCCCUGGAACGCCACGGAGAGGCUCCUCGUGGUGGUGGUGGUGCCCGCUUUGGGUCCCCCAGUCUCCCCGACGGCAGCAUUGCCAGCCGGGGCUGGGCGCGGGCGGUCGACGGAGACCGAGCGCCUCGGCAGCGGCGACGCGAAGCGGCGGGAGGGCGUGGACGACGAUGUCGAGGUGGAGUUGGAGCUCGAAGUGGUGGUGGUGGUGGAGGUGGAGGUGGAGGUCGAGCUGGAGGUGGACCUGGAGAAGGGCGCGAGGUAGCGGGAGGAGACGACCUUAGCCUUGGGCUUGGGCCGCGCGUCGCCGGCGUUGGUGUUGGCGUUGGCGUUGGACUUUGCCGGGGAGAGCGCGGAGGAAGCUCGGCGGCGGUGCGGGGACGGCGACGGGUUCAGCCGGGGCGCGGCCGCUGCUGCCCCGGCGGCCACCAUGGAGUUCAGAUCUCGCGGAGUCUCCCGGUGGUUUUGGGGCUCUGGGGUUUGAGGGGUUUCGUUU